UCUAAGUGAAAACGAGUAAGGCGGGACACGUGAUAUCCUGUUUGAAUAUGGGGGGACCAUCCUCCAAGGCUAAAUACUACUGACUGACCGAUAGUGAACCAGUACCGUGAGGGAAAGGCGAAAAGAACCCCUGUGAGGGGAGUGAAAUAGAACCUGAAACCGUGUACGUACAAGCAGUAGGAGCAGGGCAAUGCCUUGUGACUGCGUACCUUUUGUAUAAUGGGUCAGCGACUUAUAUUCAGUGGCAAGGUUAACCGUAUAGGGGAGCCGUAGGGAAACCGAGUCUUAACUGGGCGCUUUAGUCUCUGGAUAUAGACCCGAAACCGAGUGAUCUAGCCAUGGGCAGGUUGAAGAUUGAGUAACAUCAAUUGGAGGACCGAACCGACUAAUGUUGAAAAAUUAGCGGAUGACUUGUGGCUAGGGGUGAAAGGCCAAUCAAACUCGGAGAUAGCUGGUUCUCCCCGAAAGCUAUUUAGGUAGCGCCUCGGACGAAUACUACUGGGGGUAGAGCACUGUUAAGGCUAGGGGGUCAUCCCGACUUACCAACCCUUUGCAAACUCCGAAUACCAGUAAGUACUAUCCGGGAGACACACGGCGGGUGCUAACGUCCGUCGUGGAGAGGGAAACAACCCAGACCGCCAGCUAAGGUCCCAAAUUACUACUAAGUGGGAAACGAUGUGGGAAGGCUCAGACAGCCAGGAUGUUGGCUUAGAAGCAGCCAUCAUUUAAAGAAAGCGUAAUAGCUCACUGGUCGAGUCGGCCUGCGCGGAAGAUGUAACGGGGCUAAGUAGUAAACCGAAGCUGCGGCUGCAAUCGCAAGAUUGUGGGGUAGGGGAGCGUUCUGUAAGCCGUUGAAGGUGUGUUGUAAAGCAUGCUGGAGGUAUCAGAAGUGCGAAUGCUGACAUGAGUAACGAUAAUGGGGGUGAAAAACCCCCACGCCGGAAGACCAAGGGUUCCUGUCCAACGUUAAUCGGGGCAGGGUAAGUCGACCCCUAAGGCGAGGCUGAAAAGCGUAGUCGAUGGGAAACGGGUUAAUAUUCCCGUACUGCUUAUAAU
rnacentral:rRNA from 1 species